rnacentral:rRNA from 1 species
AACGAACGCUGGCGGCAUGCCUAACACAUGCAAGUCGAGCGAGACCUUCGGGUCUAGUGGCGCACGGGUGCGUAACGCGUGGGAACCUGCCCUUAGGUUCGGAAUAACUCCCCGAAAGGGGUGCUAAUACCGGAUAAUGUCUUCGGACCAAAGAUUUAUCGCCUUUGGAUGGGCCCGCGUUGGAUUAGCUAGUUGGUAGGGUAAAAGCCUACCAAGGCGACGAUCCAUAGCUGGUCUGAGAGGAUGAUCAGCCACACUGGGACUGAGACACGGCCCAGACUCCUACGGGAGGCAGCAGUGGGGAAUAUUGGACAAUGGGCGAAAGCCUGAUCCAGCAAUGCCGCGUGAGUGAUGAAGGCCUUAGGGUUGUAAAGCUCUUUUACCCGGGAUGAUAAUGACAUUACCGGGAGAAUAAGCUCCGGCUAACUCCGUG